GCAGAGGUUGCAGUGAGCCGAGAUCGCGCCAUUACACUACAGCCUGGGCGACAAGAGCAAAACUCCAUCUCAAAAAAAAAGAAAAAAAGAAAAGAAAAAAAAAAAACAAAAAGCAAAAACACUGCUACUCCCAGUAUGCCUGGUGAGGAGCGCACCGCACUGCCCCUCCCUGAAGGUACCAACUCCAUCCGCAAUCCCCAAUCCCAAUGCAUGCUUGGGAUUGUAGUCCGGCAACCUGUGACCAACGGCCGGAAGUGGCUAGGAGACUACUCCUCCCAGCAUGCCUGGCGAGGCGCGCACCGCGCUGGCCCUCUCUCCUGGGACACGCACCGCCUCCAAUCCUGGUUUAUGCUGGGAUUGUAGUCAGGCAGCCCUGUGAGCAAGUAAGAGACUACAGCUGCGAGCGAAUAAGAGACUACAGCUCUCAGAUACAGAUACAUCGAGCAGAGGUCCCUCCUCCUCCGCGUCCCUCCAGGCGUCCCGUGUCGUUUGGCGGUGGGUGGGGGAGCUUGGCUGUUUCCAAACCUUUCCUGCCUGUCAGGAGACAGCUUGAGCAGGGCCGCUGGUCUCACCUGUUUUUCAGAUUAACUCUUAAGUACUCCACGGCUACAUGCUCCUGAAGCUGUUAUAGGCCCAGCCUCAGAUCUGUGCAGGGCGGAUGCACAAGAGCAGAAUCUCCGUGGACAUCUUUCUGGAGCAUCAAUUUUACUGCAAGAUUUUGAAGAAACACAUUUAAUUGAUUUUCAAGGUGAGAAAUUAAACCUCGAAAACUAGACUGGAAAGUCAUCUACGCCUGAACUAUCAGACUUUCUUCAGAAGAAAACUCUAAGGAGAACAUAUUUUCCAUUAUUAUAAAUAUUACAAAUGAGAAAUCAUAGCAAGUUACCUGAAAAUGCUGCCCUGGCAGUUUCCUAAAUCACAACAUGUCCUGGGUAUGGUUUUAGGUGUAUUUUCUUUUUGGGGUGUGUUCACCUUUUGGAUAUAAAAAUUGGGGUUUUUGACCACAUCUUGUAAGUUUUCUGCUAUUAGUAGUUUCUUUACUUUUGUACCAUAUUUAAUUUUUCUGUGUCUUCCUCUUCUUCUCAGACUCAGUCACUCCACAAGUCUCUAAAGGCUCUGUUCAUUUUCUUCAAACAUGUUUCAUGUUGGAUGAUUUCUAUUGCUGUCUUCUGUUUCUACUCUGUGGAUAAGCUCAAGGGUGUGUGUGCGUGUGUGUGUGUGCGUGUUUUCCAUUUCAUUAUUUUUCUAUUUGGUUCUUCUUAUAAUUUUCAUUUCUCUGCUGAGGUUCCACAUCAGUUAAUUCAUUAUGAGAAUAUUUUCCUUUACUCUCAUGAACAUACUCAUAAGAGCUGAUUUUAAAUCCUUGUCUGCUGAUCUGAUUACAUCAUGUUGCUUUUUAUCUUGUGUAUACAUUACAUUUUCAUCUUUCUUCACACAUUUCAUGAAUUUUAAUGUGUUCUAUGAGUUUCUGGUGGUUAUAGAGACUCUAAAUUCUGCUGUAUUCUUUUGAAGAGCAUUGUUAUUAUUUGAAGAAGGGGUUAAUUUGGCUGGAUUCAAACUGCAAUACCUGUCUCUCCUGCAGUGGGCACAGCUGAAAUCCUCAUUCAGUUCUUAUGCACAUAUAUGUAUUUUAUAUAGAUGUGUGAUUCUAUGUAACUGUAUAUACUAUGCAGAUUUUGUCACAGUUACAUGUGAGAGUGUUAGUUCAACAAUACUCCAGUACUACUGGAAGCCAGAACCUUAGUUUUGUUUGCUUACUGGAUUUUAUAUAAAUGAAAUAAUAUAGUAUGGAUACUUUUACACCUACUUUCUUUUACAUGUCAUUAUGUUUGUGAUAUUCAUCUUUGCUGUUGCAGAUUGCUAUAAUUUGUACACUUUAAAAAGCAUUGUUUACACUGUGGUAAAAUAUACAUAAAAUUAACCACUUUAACCAUU
ensembl:lncRNA novel transcript